rnacentral:rRNA from 1 species
CCUACGGGUGGCAGCAGUAGGGAAUCUUUCACAAUGGGCGAAAGCCUGAUGGAGCAACGCCGCGUGCAGGAUGAAGGCCUUCGGGUUGUAAACUGCUUUUAUAAGCGAGAAAUAUGAUGGUAACUUAUGAAUAAGGAUCGGCUAACUACGUGCCAGCAGCCGCGGUCAUACGUAGGAUCCGAGCAUUAUCCGGAGUGACUGGGUGUAAAGAGUUGCGUAGGUGGCCUAAUAAGUAGCUAGUGAAAUCUGGUGGCUCAACCAUUCAGACUAUUAGCUAAACUGUUAAGCUCGAGACCGUUAGGGGUAAGUGGAAUUUGUGGUGUAGGGAUGAAAUCCAUAGAUAUUAGGAAGAACACCAAUAGCGUAGGCAGGUUACCGGGACGGUUCUGACACUAAGGCACGAAAGCGUAGGGAGCGAACGGGAUUAGAUACCCGUGUAGUC